AACGAACGCUGGCGGCAUGCCUAACACAUGCAAGUCGAACGAGACCUUCGGGUCUAGUGGCGCACGGGUGCGUAACGCGUGGGAAUCUGCCCCUUGGUUCGGAAUAACAGCGAGAAAUUGCUGCUAAUACCGGAUAAUGACGUAAGUCCAAAGAUUUAUCGCCAAGGGAUGAGCCCGCGUAGGAUUAGCUAGUUGGUGUGGUAAAGGCGCACCAAGGCGACGAUCCUUAGCUGGUCUGAGAGGAUGAUCAGCCACACUGGGACUGAGACACGGCCCAGACUCCUACGGGAGGCAGCAGUGGGGAAUAUUGGACAAUGGGCGAAAGCCUGAUCCAGCAAUGCCGCGUGAGUGAUGAAGGCCUUAGGGUUGUAAAGCUUUUUUACCCGGGAUGAUAAUGACAGUACCGGGAGAAUAAGCUCCGGCUAACUCCGUGCCAGCAGCCGCGGUAAU
rnacentral:rRNA from 1 species